CCUANGGGUGGCUGCAGUGGGGAAUUUUGGACAAUGGGGGCAACCCUGAUCCAGCCAUGCCGCGUGAGUGAAGAAGGCCUUCGGGUUGUAAAGCUCUUUCGGUGAAGACGAAACGGUUCGUGCCAAUAACACGGACUAAUGACGGUACUCACAGAAGAAGCACUGGCUAACUACGUGCCAGCAGCCGCGGUAAUACGUAGGGUGCAGGCGUUAAUCGGAAUUACUGGGCGUAAAGCGUGCGCAGGCGGCUCCUUAAGUCAGAUGUGAAAUCCCCGGGCUUAACCUGGGAACUGCGUUUGAAACUGAGGGGCUAGAGUGUGGAAGAGGGGGGUGGAAUUCCAGGUGUAGCAGUGAAAUGCGUAGAGAUCUGGAGGAACACCGAUGGCGAAGGCAGCCCCCUGGGCUAACACUGACGCUCAUGCACGAAAGCGUGGGGAGCAAACAGGAUUAGAUACCCGANUANUC
rnacentral:rRNA from 1 species